rnacentral:ncRNA from 1 species
UCCGUGGUGAUGUGGAAUCUGAAGGAAGCGGGCAGCAAACUUAGGGUGUCUCUCGAAACACGAACUUCAUAUGAGGCUAGUUGCCAUUGGAUGAAACAAAGUCCUUUCUGUCGAAGAUGGUACAGAGUAAAUGAAGCAGACAGGUGGAAGGAAAGACUGCACC